UAUCCUACGGGACGCAGCAAUGGGGAAUAUUGGGCAAUGGAGGAAACUCUGACCCAGCAAUGCCGCGUGAAUGAAGAAGGUCUUCGGAUUGUAAAGUUCUUUAGUCAGGGAAGAGGUCAAUGACGGUACCUGAAGAAUAAGAUCCGGCUAACUACGUGCCAGCAGCCGCGGUAAUACGUAGGGAGCAAGCGUUGUUCGGAAUGACUGGGCGUAAAGGGUGCGUAGGCGGUUGUACAAGUUAGAAGUGAAAUACCCAGGGCUUAACUCGGGGGCUGCUUCUAAAACUGGAUGACUUGAGUGCAGUA
rnacentral:rRNA from 1 species